rnacentral:rRNA from 1 species
GGACUACCGGGGUUUCUAAUCCUGUUUGCUCCCCACACUUUCGUGUCUCAACGUCAGUAUCAAGCCAGAAAGUCGCCUUCGCCACCGGUGUUCCUCCUAAUAUCUACGCAUUUCACCGCUACACUAGGAAUUCCACUUUCCCCUCUUGUACUCAAGAUAUGUAGUUUUAGUUGCAGUUCCUCGGUUAAGCCGAGGGAUUUCACAACUAACUUACAUGCCCGUCUACACACUCUUUACACCCAAUAAUUCCGGAUAACGCUUCCCCCCUACGUAUUACCGCGGCUGCUGGCAC